GAAUGUUAAGGUGAUCUGGCUGCAACAUCUGUCACCCCACUGAUCACCACAGUUGAUAUGGCUGAUCUGGCAGGCUAGGCAGCUGUCCCCUUCCUUCCUCAGUGCUCCAUGUGAGUCCCCCUGGGCUGCAGGCUCAGUGGAAGAGGACGACCACCCCUGAUAGAGGAGGACGAUUCCUCAAUCAAGGGUAUAUGAGUAGCUGUGCUCCCUUGGUCGAACUUCCAAACAAGCUCUCAAAACUGGUACUACAGCUCAGUGGUAAAGCUUGUGUUUAGCACGUACAAGAUACCUGGAUUCAAUCCCAGUGUCACAAAAGAGCAAAGUAACUUU
rnacentral:snRNA from 1 species